rfam:Camelus ferus unplaced genomic scaffold scaffold56579, whole genome shotgun sequence.
GAGGCUUGAAAGUGCCAGGCGCUUUCUCUAGAAGAGCCACGCUCUGGAGAGCAACGUUGAAUCCCUGGGAAGAGAGAGCAUGGGGCGUGCUGAUUUAAAAACAGAAAAUGCAAAGUUGGACUGAAAAUAUCCUUAGUCUUCCAAGCAAUCUGCUUAAGGGUUCCAAACUUACCUUAAUUUGGUGAGACAAGAAGCUGCCCUAUUUUUCUUUCUUCUUCUUCUCCUGCGACUGGAAGCAGCCAUUUCCCCCAAACCGCCACCAUG